UCAACAUCGGCAGAGAAAUACGAAAGUACAUUCCAAAGCCAAAUGUGUUGACGCCCAUCACGAACGCUGUGGGAGUUAUAUACUGCUUGUGCUUCGGUGUGUAUCCCAAAAGAAGCUCUCCUUUACUGACUGGCACUCUUCAUAACACUCGGAUUUUGAACUUUUUCCUCCUGCAUCCUAUUCUUUAUACAAUCCAGAAUAACAGCACAGCUGGAAGGCACAAUGCUUAACUGGGACGAGUGUGAACUCCUGAUAUGUGGCACCCACAAGGAUUUUGAACAAAUUUUUGAAGCGCGACGGUCCCAUUUCUGACAGAGAUGUAUCAAGGCUAAGAGAAGGUGAUCUCAUUUUGAGGACCAUGGAUGUGGAAUGCAGCCCAUUUUAUCAUGCUGGGAUUUACUGUGGCAACGAAGAAGUCAUUGAGUUUACAGGCAAGAAAUACUCAUGGAUGUUCUGAAAAUAUUACUGUAAUAAAGCAAACUCAAAAGUGUUGAAAAACGAGCCGCUCCUUUGGAAAGGAGCUUCUGUGUGUCUAGAUUUAUGGAGUUGGGAAUGUUGGUCGCGUUCUUGUGGGAGAUUAAAACACGGCUCACUGGUGACGCUGCGUCUUCCAUGAGAGUGGGGGUGCUUAAACAGCCUUGCAUGAUUGUAUUGUUUUUCUAGCUGCAAGGAGAUGACCAUCUCCGUGUUAAGAUUGGGACUCUAGUAUCUGGAGAGAAUAUACACUUUGUAUAUUCCCCCUGGGCAAG